rnacentral:rRNA from 1 species
CCUACGGGGGGCAGCAGUGGGGAAUAUUGCGCAAUGGGCGAAAGCCUGACGCAGCGACGCCGCGUGAGGGAUGAAGGUCUUCGGAUCGUAAACCUCUGUCAGCAGGGAAGAACGGUCACUGUGCUAAUCAGCAGUGAAUUGACGGUACCUGCAAAGGAAGCACCGGCUAACUCCGUGCCAGCAGCCGCGGUAAUACGGAGGGUGCGAGCGUUAUUCGGAAUUACUGGGCGUAAAGCGCUCGUAGGCGGUAUGUCAAGUCAAGGGUGAAAUCCCCGCGCUCAACGUGGGAACUGCCUUUGAAACUGGCAAACUGGAGUGUGUGAGAGGAUAGGGGAAUUCCAGGUGUAGGAGUGAAAGCCGUAGAUAUCUGGAGGAACAUCAGUGGCGAAGGCGACUAUCUGGCACAUAACUGACGCUGAGGAGCGAAAGCGUGGGUAGCAAACAGGAUUAGAUACCCGAGUAGUC